UACGGGGGGGGGCGAGCGUUGUUCGGAAUCAUUGGGCGUAAAGGGUGCGUAGGUGGUGCUGUAAGUCUGACGUGAAAAUCUCUGGGCUUAACCCAGAAUCCGCGCCAGGAACUGCAGUGCUGGAGUGUGGGGAGAGGGAGAGUGGAAAUUCCCGGUGUAGCGGUGAAAAUGCGUAGAUAUCGUAAGGAAGACCAGUGGCGAAGGCGGGUCUCUGGACAGUUCCUGACGUGAGGCACGAAGGCCAGGGGGAGCAAAACGGGG
rnacentral:rRNA from 1 species